rnacentral:tRNA from 1 species
GCCUUCGUGGUGUAAUGGUUAGCGCAUUGAGCCGGUAAUUCAGAAGUCCGUGGUUCGAUCCCCGGCGAAGGCA